rnacentral:rRNA from 1 species
UCUUCUUCUAGCUCCCGCGCCACCUCGUGGAUUCAGAUUCCGGCGCGCAUGGAGAUGCCGAUCUUCCUCUGUCCAUGGUGCCGGGCGGAGGUUGAUCGGACGGUUUCGCGCACACCGAAGAACCAUAACCGUCCGUUCUACGUGUGCAGCGAGAGUGGGGUGAAAUGUUUCUUCCUUUGGGUCCAUGCUCUGGCCAAGACUCUGAUGAUUGAACUGUUAGAAAAGCACGAAGAAUGGUUGCCCAUCCUGCCACGAAUGGCAGCGGCUGCAGCACGAGCUCCGGAAGAAGAGACGGAGGGCGGAGCACGCAAUGACAGAGAGGUAGCCGUUGAGCUUAGGAGGUUGAACCAGAAGAUUAGGAAGCUCGAAGAUCAAGCACAAAUACCCAUUUGCAAUUACAUUUGGGCAUUUGAAGGUAUGGUAAUUGCACUAGGCGUAAUGUUCAAAUUGUAUGGAUUUGGGAGGAAUUUUUAA